rnacentral:rRNA from 1 species
CGGGGUGAGUAAUGUCUGGGAAACGGCCUGAUGGAGGGGGGUAACUACUGGAAACGGUAGCUAAUACCGCAUAACGUCGCAAGACCAAAGAGGGGGACCUUAGGGCCUCUUGCCAUCGGAUGUGCCCAGAUGGGAUUAGCUAGUAGGUGGGGUAAUGGCUCACCUAGGCGACGAUCCCUAGCUGGUCUGAGAGGAUGACCAGCCACACUGGAACUGAGACACGGUCCAG